rnacentral:rRNA from 1 species
AGCGAACGCUGGCGGCAGGCUUAACACAUGCAAGUCGAACGCCCCGCAAGGGGAGUGGCAGACGGGUGAGUAACACGUGGGAACGUACCCUUUGGUUCGGAAUAACUUGGGGAAACUCAAGCUAAUACCGGAUAAGCCCUUAUGGGGAAAGGUUUACUGCCGAAGGAUCGGCCCGCGUCUGAUUAGCUAGUUGGUGAGGUAAUGGCUCACCAAGGCGACGAUCAGUAGCUGGUCUGAGAGGAUGAUCAGCCACACUGGGACUGAGACACGGCCCAGACUCCUACGGGAGGCAGCAGUGGGGAAUAUUGGACAAUGGGGGCAACCCUGAUCCAGCCAUGCCGCGUGAGUGAUGAAGGCCUUAGGGUUGUAAAGCUCUUUCAGCACCGACGAAGCGCAAGUGACGGUAGGUGCAGAAGAAGGACCGGCCAACUACGUGCCAGCAGCCGCAGUAA